rnacentral:lncRNA from 1 species
UGCCAUUCCCGGGCAUUUCCCUCAGGCAACAUCGGCCUCAACCAUGGAGUCCAGGUGCAAAUCAUCUCUCUCACUGUUUUCAAUUAACGAUGCAGACAAGCUGCAGGCUCAACAAACCCUGGGGGAGCAAGCCAUUACAUCACACCUCUCUGUGGCCUCUGCUUCAGUUCCUGCCCUGACUUCCUGAAUGAGGUAAGACAAAAUGAACCUUUUGGCCUAUAAGUUGU